ensembl:lncRNA
AUGCCUAAAAGGAGCAAAGCAAACGCUGAUGCUGAGGCAGCAGAGCCCAAGAGGAGAUCUGAGAGAUUGGUAAAUAAACCAGCCCCUCCAAAGGCAGAGCCCAAGCCAAAGAAGGAGAAGGCAGUACCCAAGCCCAAGAAGGCUAAGGAGGUGAAGAAGGCUGCACCUGAGGAGAAGGAGGCGCCUGCAGAGAAUGGCGAAGCCAAAGCUGAGGAAGAGGAACCAGCCACAGAAGAACCUGAACAGAAAGAAGAUGCGGCAGAAUAACAUCUCUCAAACCACAUCUUUUAUCACUGCUCCCUAUUCCUCUUUCUUGUACAAUUCAGGGGAAUAUUUUUAUUGACUAUUUUCUAAAUGCAAGUUUUUUAGUAGUUUGAUUGUAGAAACACAUUUUUUAUGGAACAAAUACAUUUGGAGACGGAUUUCAUCACAUCCCACAUUUUUACAUCUCCGGAACAAUUACGGUUAUUGUAAAUGUCAAAGGUUUUUAUUUUUGCCGUGGGGUGGGAAUGGGCCAGGUUGCUGCAUCAAGAACAUGCAAGCACGUUGUUUACAGGAUCCGGUCAAAACAGAGAGCUUGCCUGAGAGACUAACAUUCCAUAGGCUAUAUGAGGGACGGUAUUUGUAACCUGUAUUGUGUGGUGGGGAUGAAUUCCUCAAGGGGCAACACAGUUUUAUUGUUUAUAAUGAGAAAUGUUUUAGAAUGUUGUAAGCUGUGUUCCGUAUGUUAACUAUUGUACUCAUGCCAUUUUUUUCUUAACCAUUCUGCUUAAUAAACCUAUUCCCUAGCACUGGAGUUCCUCCCUAUCAGGCCUGUGCAUUGCGUGUAAUUGGUUUUGUCUCUGUUCUGUGAUAGCAUUGCAAUAAAUGUGUACAGCUGCUGUUUAAAAGGGUUUUCAAACUUUCUAUAUGCAGUGUGUAAUGGUACAUUGUAAAUGGAAUUCUUUGUUCUUAGCCAAGCUAAUGACAUAAGUGUGAAACAUACUGUUGACUAUGGUUCCUUUUGAUGCUGAGAAACUGUACAUCCACUUGAGCUGUCAAAUACACAAACCAGCAAUAUUCAUGUGGGUUUUAGGUAUCAAGUACAAGUGUACAGUUCUUGUAUUCUUUGUUUAUAGAUGUAUCUGUGUCAUGAUUGGUAUAAACAAACCAAUAAAAAUGUGGUUGUAAUCGUUUGAUCUUUUCUCAUUGUGUGCCAAAUAGACAGCGCUGUGUGAAUCCAUACAAUCAUGCCAAUACUAGCAGUAUUUUAGAUAUGAUAGUUCUGGUUGUCCACAAAUGCAUAUUGCAUUAGCUAAAGAAAACCAUGCCAGUUUUGAGACUGACAUGACUGACAGCCAGUAUCUGUCCUCGAUGUGAAAAAUAUGAAUGCAUGUAAAGCACAUCUGCCCCUAAAAAUAAUUUAUCGCUGUGGGGCUAGUGAGGGACCAUCAGUAAAUUGUCAAUAGCUUCACAUUUCAGUGACAAGAAACCGACGACUAUAAAUUGUAGAAAUGUAUAAUUAAAUAUUGAAAGCAUUUAAUGAGAACUAAAGAAUGUACAACAUGAAAAUAUUGUCCUAUUUACAUUUGUAAUUUAUUGACCGCUCACAACUAGCCCCAGAGAUAGGCUAUCGGGGCGGCAGGUAGCUUAGUGGUUUGAGCAUAGGACUAGUAACUGAAAUGUUGCAAGAUCAAAUCCCUGAGUUGAUAAGGUAAAAAAAAAAUCUGUUCUGCACCUGAAUAAGGCAGUUAACCAACUGUUCCUAGCCUGUCAUUGAAAAUAUGAAUUUGUUCUUAACUGACUUGAUCUGGUUAGACCGUUUCAAGUUAUCUAGAAGGGUGAGUGUCUGUGUACUGUUUUGGCAGAGUGAAUGUAGCUACAAAAUUUACAUGAUAGAAAUGUGAAUACUAUGGGGCUGUUGACCUUAGGAUGUUUAGAUGAGCCAAAUUAUAACAGCAAUAUAUUUCUACCAAUCAAAGUUUAGAAGAUUAACAAAAUGGUAAUAAUAAACAAAAACUAAAUCAAACCCAGUUCAGAAUUAUAGCCUUUUUGAAUGAACUUUGGAGAUGGCGGCCCUGUGGAAGUCCUUCGUCCAAAGGUUGUUGAAUGCAUGCACUGAUACGACCCGAAAAACAAAAACAGGAUACUGAGUCUUUUUUAUUUUGGCAUCUUAAAAAGGUAGAAAUUGAGUUAUGCCUAAUACGGCCAUUCAUAUUAUUUUUCCAAUAUUCAUUUUUUACAGUGGGUCAAUAUUGGUCAAACACCAUGCCCCUUGGGUUAAGCGCUUGACCCAGCUGCUGGUAAAUUAGUCUAUAUAGCUGGGUUAAAACAACCCAGCACAUUGGGUUGAGGGAUUGAUCAGGCAGCUGGGUAAUUUAACUAAUCCUUAGAUUACAUUUAGUGUAAUCCUAAUUUCAGUUUUGCUUAUACAGUGCCUUCGGAAAGUAUUCAGACCCCUUCACUUUUUCAACAUUGUUAGGUUACAGUCUUAUUCUAAAAUUGAUUAAAUAAAUGUUUGUCCUUUAAUCUACACACAAUACCCCCUAAUGACAAAGCAAACAGAUUUGUAGGAAUUUUUGCAAAUGUAUUAAUAAUAAAACACCUGAAAUAUCACAUCUACGUAGGUGUUCAGACCCUUAACUCAGUACUUUGUUGAAGCACCUUUGGCAGCGAUUACAGCCUUGAGUCUUCUUGGGUAUGACGCUACAAGCUCGGUACACCUGUAUUUGGGGAGUUUCUCCCAUUGUUCUCUGCAGAUCCUCUCAAUUUACACGUCUCUCCAGAGAUAUUCAAUCGGGUUCAAGACUUGGCUCUGGCUGGGCCACUCAAGGACAUUUAGAGACUUGUCCUGAAGCCACUCCUGCAUUGCAUUGGCUGUGUGCUUAGGGUCGUUGUUCUGUUGGAAGGUGAACCUUUGCCCCAGUCUUGAGGUCCUCAGGGCUCUGGAUUAGGUUUUCAUUAAGGA